GGGAAGGUGGCUCAGUGGUAGAGCGCUUGUCUGGCAUGCAUGAGGCCCUGGGUUCUAUCCAUUCCU
rnacentral:tRNA from 1 species